UUAAGCGACUAAGCGUACACGGUGGAUGCCCUGGCAGUCAGAGGCGAUGAAGGACGUGCUAAUCUGCGAAAAGCGUCGGUAAGGUGAUAUGAACCGUUAUAACCGGCGAUGUCCGAAUGGGGAAACCCAGUGCAAUUCGUUGCACUAUCGUUAACUGAAUACAUAGGUUAGCGAGGCGAACCGGGGAACUGAAACAUCUAAGUACCCCGAGGAAAAGAAAUCAACCGAGAUUCCCCCAGUAGCGGCGAGCGAACGGGGAGCAGCCCAGAGUCUGAAUCAGCUUGUGUGUUAGUGGAACGGUCUGGAAAGUCCGACGGUACAGGGUGAUAGUCCCGUACACCAAAAUGCACAGGUUGUGAACUCGAAGAGUAGGGCGGGACACGUGGUAUCCUGUCUGAAUAUGGGGGGACCAUCCUCCAAGGCUAAAUACUCCUGACUGACCGAUAGUGAACCAGUACCGUGAGGGAAAGGCGAAAAGAACCCCGGCGAGGGGAGUGAAAAAGAACCUGAAACCGUGUACGUACAAGCAGUGGGAGCACCUUCGGGUGUGACUGCGUACCUUUUGUAUAAUGGGUCAGCGACUUAUAUUCUGUAGCAAGGUUAACCGUAUAGGGGAGCCGCAGGGAAACCGAGUCUUAACUGGGCGUUAAGUUGCAGGGUAUAGACCCGAAACCCGGUGAUCUAGCCAUGGGCAGGUUGAAGGUUGGGUAACACUAACUGGAGGACCGAACCGACUAAUGUUGAAAAAUUAGCGGAUGACUUGUGGCUGGGGGUGAAAGGCCAAUCAAACCGGGAGAUAGCUGGUUCUCCCCGAAAGCUAUUUAGGUAGCGCCUCGUGAACUCAUCUUCGGGGGUAGAGCACUGUUUCGGCUAGGGGGUCAUCCCGACUUACCAACCCGAUGCAAACUACGAAUACCGAAGAAUGUUAUCACGGGAGACACACGGCGGGUGCUAACGUCCGUCGUGAAGAGGGAAACAACCCAGACCGCCAGCUAAGGUCCCAAAGUCAUGGUUAAGUGGGAAACGAUGUGGGAAGGCACAGACAGCCAGGAUGUUGGCUUAGAAGCAGCCAUCAUUUAAAGAAAGCGUAAUAGCUCACUGGUCGAGUCGGCCUGCGCGGAAGAUGUAACGGGGCUAAACCAUGCACCGAAGCUGCGGCAGCGACACUAUGUGUUGUUGGGUAGGGGAGCGUUCUGUAAGCCUGCGAAGGUGACCUGUGAGGGUUGCUGGAGGUAUCAGAAGUGCGAAUGCUGACAUAAGUAACGAUAAAGCGGGUGAAAAGCCCGCUCGCCGGAAGACCAAGGGUUCCUGUCCAACGUUAAUCGGGGCAGGGUGAGUCGACCCCUAAGGCGAGGCCGAAAGGCGUAGUCGAUGGGAAACAGGUUAAUAUUCCUGUACUUGGUGUUACUGCGAAGGGGGGACGGAGAAGGCUAUGUUAGCCGGGCGACGGUUGUCCCGGUUUAAGCAUGUAGGCUGGUUGUCCAGGCAAAUCCGGAUAAUCAAGGCUGAGGUGUGAUGACGAGGCACUACGGUGCUGAAGUAACAAAUGCCCUGCUUCCAGGAAAAGCCUCUAAGCAUCAGGUAACAUUAAAUCGUACCCCAAACCGACACAGGUGGUCAGGUAGAGAAUACCAAGGCGCUUGAGAGAACUCGGGUGAAGGAACUAGGCAAAAUGGUGCCGUAACUUCGGGAGAAGGCACGCUGGUGUGUAGGUGAAGCCCCUGCGGGUGGAGCUGAGACCAGUCGAAGAUACCAGCUGGCUGCAACUGUUUAUUAAAAACACAGCACUGUGCAAACACGAAAGUGGACGUAUACGGUGUGACGCCUGCCCGGUGCCGGAAGGUUAAUUGAUGGGGUUAUCCGUAAGGAGAAGCUCUUGAUCGAAGCCCCGGUAAACGGCGGCCGUAACUAUAACGGUCCUAAGGUAGCGAAAUUCCUUGUCGGGUAAGUUCCGACCUGCACGAAUGGCGUAAUGAUGGCCAGGCUGUCUCCACCCGAGACUCAGUGAAAUUGAACUCGCUGUGAAGAUGCAGUGUACCCGCGGCAAGACGGAAAGACCCCGUGAACCUUUACUAUAGCUUGACACUGAACAUUGAGCCUUGAUGUGUAGGAUAGGUGGGAGGCUUUGAAGCGUGGACGCCAGUCUGCGUGGAGCCAACCUUGAAAUACCACCCUUUAAUGUUUGAUGUUCUAACGUUGGCCCCUUACCGGGGUUGCGGACAGUGUCUGGUGGGUAGUUUGACUGGGGCGGUCUCCUCCCAAAGCGUAACGGAGGAGCACGAAGGUUAGCUAAUCCUGGUCGGACAUCAGGAGGUUAGUGCAAUGGCAUAAGCUAGCUUGACUGCGAGCGUGACGGCGCGAGCAGGUGCGAAAGCAGGUCAUAGUGAUCCGGUGGUUCUGAAUGGAAGGGCCAUCGCUCAACGGAUAAAAGGUACUCCGGGGAUAACAGGCUGAUACCGCCCAAGAGUUCAUAUCGACGGCGGUGUUUGGCACCUCGAUGUCGGCUCAUCACAUCCUGGGGCUGAAGUAGGUCCCAAGGGUAUGGCUGUUCGCCAUUUAAAGUGGUACGCGAGCUGGGUUUAGAACGUCGUGAGACAGUUCGGUCCCUAUCUGCCGUGGGCGCUGGAGAAUUGAGGGGGGCUGCUCCUAGUACGAGAGGACCGGAGUGGACGCAUCACUGGUGUUCGGGUUGUCAUGCCAAUGGCACUGCCCGGUAGCUAAAUGCGGAAGAGAUAAGUGCUGAAAGCAUCUAAGCACGAAACUUGCCCCGAGAUGAGUUCUCCCUGAGACUUUAAGUCUCCUGAAGGAACGUUGAAGACGACGACGUUGAUAGGCCGGGUGUGUAAGCGCAGCGAUGCGUUGAGCUAACCGGUACUAAUGAACCGUGAGGCUUAACCUU
rnacentral:rRNA from 1 species